rnacentral:tRNA from 1 species
GCGGACGUGGCGGAAUUGGUAGACGCGCUGGAUUUAGGUUCCAGUAUCUUGCGAUGUGAGAGUUCAAGUCUCUCCGUCCGCA